AGGUAGUCUAGUGGUUAGAGUGUAGAGGAGGCAGGUAGCCUAGUGGUUAGAGUGUAGAGGAGGCAGGUAGCCUAGUGGUUAGAGUGUAGAGGAGGCAGGUAGUCUAGUGGUUAGAGUGUAGAGGAGGCAGGUAGUCUAGUGGUUAGAGUGUAGAGGAGGCAGGUAGUCUAGUGGUUAGAGUGUAGAGGAGGCAGGUAGCCUAGUGGUUAGAGUGUAGAGGAGGCAGGUAGCCUAGUGGUUAGAGUGUAGAGGAGGCAGGUAGCCUAGUGGUUAGAUUGUAGAGGAGGCAGGUAGCCUAGUGGUUAGAGUGUAGAGGUGGCAGGUAGCCUAGUGGUUAGAGUGUAGAGGAGGCAGGUAGCCUAGUGGUUAGAGUGUAGAGGAGGCAGGUAGCCUAGUGGUUAGAGUGUAGAGGAGGCAGGUAGCCUAGUGGUUAGA